rnacentral:rRNA from 1 species
AUUGAACGCUGGCGGCAGGCCUAACACAUGCAAGUCGAGCGGAUGAAGGGAGCUUGCUCCUGGAUUCAGCGGCGGACGGGUGAGUAAUGCCUAGGAAUCUGCCUGGUCGUGGGGGAUAACGUCCGGAAACGGGCGCUAAUCCCGCAUACGUCCUGAGGGAGAAAGUGGGGGAUCUUCGGACCUCACGCUAUCAGAUGAGCCUAGGUCGGAUUAGCUAGUUGGUGGGGUAAAGGCCUACCAAGGCGACGAUCCGUAGCUGGUCUGAGAGGAUGAUCAGUCACACUGGAACUGAGACACGGUCCAGACUCCUACGGGAGGCAGCAGUGGGGAAUAUUGGACAAUGGGCGAAAGCCUGAUCCAGCCAUGCCGCGUGUGUGAAGAAGGUCUUCGGAUUGUAAAGCACUUUAAGUUGGGAGGAAGAGCAGUAAGUUAAUACCUUGCUGUCUUGACGUUACCAACAGAAAAAGCACCGGCUAACUUCGUG